rnacentral:rRNA from 1 species
UACAGAGGUCUCAAGCGUUGUUCGGAUUCAUUGGGCGUAAAGGGUGCGUAGGUGGCGCCGUAAGUCGGGUGUGAAAUUUCGGAGCUUAACUCCGAAACUGCAUUCGAUACUGCGGUGCUUGAGGACUGGAGAGGAGAGUGGAAUUCCUGGUGUAGCAGUGAAAUGCGUAGAUAUCAGGAGGAAUACCGAUGGCGAAGGCAGGUCUCUGGGCUGACACUGACGCUCAUGCACGAAAGCGUGGGGAGCAAACAGG